GAUAACUCACAGCAUCCAACAGCAGCUGCACCAGGACAGCACACACAGCCAGCAGCAAAGAACCCUCUGCUCUCACAGCAAGCUGGGGAGCACCAGCCACGGUCCAGCUCUGUCAGGACACACGUGCCCACACAGGAUCUCACCCCAGGUUCAAUGUCAAGGGCAGCAUUGGUGGCCCCUGAUGGGCUGGACCUGUUUCUGCAGGGCAAACAUCUUGUGGAAACUGACUGCAAGGGGAACAGCAAAAUGUGAUGGUGGAGUAGCUCUCAACCAGGAGUUUGGGAUGAAAAGCACUCACUGCUGCGAAGAGAGGGAAGAACCUGGCCUGGUGUCCUCUCCCCUGCCCUCCCCUCCUCAGGAGCCUCGCUGCAUUCUGUCUUCCCCUGUUCCUGCCAGCCAAUGUCACUCCAGCCCCUUCCUCAGAUACGGACUGGCUGGAUCCUGCACUCUGCAGUUUCAAAAGAUUAAAACAACAGGAAUCAUCCUGGGCUGAUCAAGGUCACUGACAGCUCAAGGCUCUGCAGCAAGCAGCACGUCCCUUCGUGUCAUACAGCAGAGGAGACACCUCCAGGAAUUGGGAUUUUCUCAGUAAUUGGGAUUUUCCAGACUGAUGUGAGCUCCCUUUGCCCCUGUUCUGGUAUGAUUAAUGCCACAUGCAUGCGGGAGAGCAACAUCAGGCUGAUGCUGCAGAACUCAUCUCUCUGCAAGGCUCUGUGGCUCAGGAUCACAUCAGUGUUCUUCACUUGUGUCCUCUGUGGCAGAAUGCAUCUCUCUAGAUGACCCAAGAGAAAUAUCUGUCAUCUCUCCUGCUUCCUCAAGGCCAAAUUUCUGUGCUUGGAAACUCCAACAUUCUUCAGCCCAUCCUCAUUCUGAUGAUGACUACAGACAUCACAGUGGUGAGCCUGUAAUGAAGUGGUGCUGAGAAUAUAAGACUGCAGGAAGAACACUUUUAGUUAAAAUUAUCCUGGCCUGCUUUGUUGGGGAAGUUCUUGGAAUUUGAAUCUUCCAAUUACAUUUAUUUUCCUUCAUCCAGGUGUUUGAAACAUGACAUGAAAGAACCACUUCCUUUGCAUGCUUUCUCACCACAGGCUUGUGUGAAUGCCUGAAAAUCCUUUAUUUCAUUUUGAGGGUAUUUGGCUUUAUUCCUAGAGGUAGAUUCUUACAGGGGCUCUCUUUAAGGCCAGAGUUCAUUAAUAACUUUAAAAUUCUUCCUGUAAAGGUACAUCCACAACACAGCUUAUCAGUUGAUCCUCCUUUUAAUAGACAGAUUUUGCUCCUUCACCACAUGGCACAAAAUAUUUUAAGAUCCAUUAGCAAUUUUGAGAUUUUAUCAAUAGUCAAUCAAGGCUUGAAACUUUCAUUACAAAAUGUUGACAUUAGUCAUUGGAUCACAGGCACAUGUCUUAGCAAAGCUGUAUGCAUAUUUUCUACAUUAUGUUGCCAUCUUUUUGAGCUAGAUCAGUAAAAAUAAAAAAAAAUUAAAAUAUUCUCAAUUUGCUUCAGAUUUUUCCUUAAAACCAAAUCAAGACUCUAUUAUGUGUAAAUUCCUAAGUGAAUUGCUUAUUUUCUACUUUUAACCAAAACUUAGAAUCCUCUUCAAUAGUGUCUUUGUUCUCCUAGAAAUGAUAGGGCAUUUUGCCCUUUCUUUCAGAAACACUGAAACCAGUUUCAGGGACAACAUGUCAUCAACACCUGCAAAACAAAUCCUGGCACUUUCUCUUCCAUUUCUUUUAAUAAAUGUUAAUUGGCAGGACUUAAAUGCAGCUUAGGUAGGCAAUAACAACUUAAUCAGUGUAUGCAGAUAAGACUAGAGACAGGCAUUUACUUGGUUUGAGUUCUUAGUUUUAUUUUCUCUGUAUAAAUUUAAGAUGGCAUUACAAGGAAUAUUACAGCCUUAUUUAAAGGAAUUUAAUCAGAGGACUGGUGAACUAUGUAGUAUUUUAUUUCAUUUCAUAGUGAAUAUUCUCAAAGAGGCGCACAGCACUAUAUUAAUUUUUUGGCUUGCAUUGACUUUACGGGUUACAAUAAAUGGACAUCAGUCUAUUUGGCUUCAUAUGCACUGUUUCCCAUUAAUAUAUUUACUGUAUUAAUGUAUCCAUUUUGUUCCAGAGAAAAGCUAUCCACCAAUAAAAAGCAAAGAAAAAACCAUUGAGUCAGGCAUUUUUAUCUGAGAACACAAUAUCAGACAAUCCUUUUGGCAUUGGAUAAACCACAAAGACCUGCUAUCCUGUAUCUUCAGCCUUUCGAACACUCCCUGCUCUGAGGAACAGAGGCAGCAGGAGCAGGUGGGAGCACAGGAAAUGGCACCCAUCGAUGUAGAAACAAAGAAAUUAUAGUGGGAGAAGUCACACAUGGGCACAGGUGCUCAGACAGUGGCUGUUGGAUCUACACCCUCAGGGACACUCAAAACCCACCUGGAGGCACCUCCAGGCAACUUGCUCUGUCUGAGACUUGUCUGAGAGACAUCUCGGGCUGGGGGCCUUUUCACACCCUUGAUUCAGUCAUUCUGUAAAGUUGGGGUUUUUUUGUCAAUUUAAAAGGUGAAAACUGUGGGGGCCUGGGUGAGUGGAGUUUGUUUGGAUUUUUUGUGGGUUUGGUUUUUGUUUGUUUGUUUGUUUGUUUUUUGUUUUGGUAGGUUUUGUUUUGCUUUGUGUUGGUUGGUUGGUUUGAUGGGGAUUUUUGUUUUGGUGUGUUGUUUUUUGGUUUUGUUUUGGUAUUGGGUUUUUUUGUUUGUUUCUUACAGCCACUAUGUUGUAUUUCAGAGGAAUUUCCAUGUAAAAUUGCAUAGCAAAUGGCUGCUCAGAUCUGGAACCCAAACACAAAUUCCUGCUGUUGGCUUGCUGAAGAGCAGGCUCAGGAAAAACAAUUGCAUGGAGCAGUCACCAAUUUAUCACUCAUUGUAUUUCAAAUACAUAAAUAUGUAUUAACAAAUGCCUACUAGUAAAUGCCAAGACAACGACCUGCUACCAAAUUAUAUAACUUCAAUGCAAUGAAAGGUACCUUAAAGGAAAAGAAUGAAAAAAAAAAUAAUCAAAGGACCAAUAUUUUUUCUCGAAACAUAUCUUUAUGUUUUCAACCAACGGAGCACAAAUAAGUAUUCCCUGCCAUGGAAGUGUGUCCCUCUGUCCUCUGAGAGAUUAGGCAGUGAUUUUCGAUGUGCCUUUUCCAACAGCUGGAGUGUUGAGGAUUUUUUGCAGAUUGAGGAGUUUUUGAGAAACAAUGGCCAUAUUCAUGUGAUGCACAAUCCAGCCUGCUUGGGAUAAUGGACAACGGACACGUUCACAAUCAAUAAUGGACAAAUUCAGAACAUGGGGUCGGUAUAUCCUUGAAAAGGAUACAAGAAGAAGAGUCAAAUGGACUCAGCAAGUUUGUCAGUGAGCUUGGGAAAGUGAGGAAAAAGACAGUUCAUGGGUGGGACAGAAAACCACAGCCAGACGCGUGAAAAGUUAGAUGAUCCAAUCAGCAUCCAAUUUUAGACCUGUGAACAGCUAGGGUUAACCAAUCAUGGAUUAGCUAGAGACGAGUGGUCAGUAGAGAAUUAUUAUAAAUACAGUCUUUUUAGGGAUAAUAUAUUUGGCUUCACUGGAUCAUAUUGGUUGUGGUGUGAUGUCCCUGAACCUCCGCAUCCCGCACCGUUCCCCCCACAGCUGGAGCCCUACAGGAUUGACAAGAAAGUUGCUCUUAAGCCUCCUUCUUUGAACAGAUCCCUGAGCAGGAUUUGAGCAGAAAGACACAGAGAGCUUAUAUCUGGCAGUCACAGAACUGUAAAGGACACAGAGUCCUACUCAAUUUAUGGGGAACUGACGGUUUUACAAAGGGUAUAGCAAUAAAAUAUAUUCCCUAAAAUAAGCCUGUAUAUUAAAAAAGGACUACAUUAUAGUUAACUGCAAAUACUUGUCUAUAACAUUAUUAUAAGUUAUAAAUUCUGCACAACUAUAGUAAUAAACUAAUAAUUUUAUCACA